rnacentral:rRNA from 1 species
UUAAAUGGCUGCAGUAAUUUGACUGUACAAAGGUAGCAUAAUCAUUAGUUUUUUAAUUAAAAGCUUGAAUGAAAGGUUGGACGAGGUAAAAUCUGUCUCUUUUAAAUAAAAUUAGAAUUUAAUUUUUAAGUUAAAAAGCUUAAAUUUUUAUAAAAGACGAGAAGACCCUAUAGAGUUUAAUAAUUUUUUUUAGAAAUAAUUAAUUUAGUUUUAUUACUUUUAUUUUUUUAAAAUUAUUUUAUUGGGGUAAUAAUAAGAUUAAAAUAAUUCUUUUUUUUUUACCAUUGAUUUAUGAAAUAUAUGAUCCAUUAUUGUUAUGAUUAUAAG